rnacentral:rRNA from 1 species
UACGUAGGGGGCAAGCGUUGUCCGGAUUUAUUGGGCGUAAAGAGCGUGUAGGCGGCCAAGCAGGUCCGCUGUGAAAACUCGAGGCUCAACCUCGAGACGUCGGUGGAAACCGUUUGGCUAGAGUCCGGAAGAGGAGAGUGGAAUUCCCGGUGUAGCGGUGAAAUGCGCAGAUAUCGGGAAGAACACCCGUGGCGAAGGCGGCUCUCCGGACCGACACUGACGCUGAGGCGCGAAAGCGUGGGGAGCAAACAGG